UAAUUUUCUCUGUGUUUAGCCAGUUUGUGCAUGACUGUGUCUGUGUGGUCGACUGUACUGUUUAUAGUAUGAACUCAAGAGGAACUGCAGUUAGCCUGUGCCGGGGAGACGAUGGUGGGGGCUGCAACUUUCAUUGUUAACACGGAGGGCUUCUGUGUAUGAGGAGAAAACCAGAGGCUUUGAUGUAAAGCUCAGAGAGCAUCCAGUCUCUAUCCUCUCUCUCUCUUUCUUUCUUUUUCUUAAGGUUAGAGUUUAUAUCGCUCCCUCCAUUCAGCUCACAGUCAGGAAAAACAAGCCUGGGCAAUUCAUUAGAUUAUCCCAUUAUAUUUCUCCUCCAGCAUUGCUGGGGUGAGUGAGGGUAUACGACUGAAAUAUCCUCCAGGUUGUUUCUUCGAGACUCAUCAUAAUGGCCUCACCGUGUCCUGCUCUGAAAUAUGUCGUCCCUGAACUGCAGGAUGGUGCUGCCUCAUUGGUGACAGCAUGCCAUACAACAUUAAGUUGAGUUCUUAAAAAUCAUAUACUAUAUACAAGUCUAGAGGUAGAAUGUAAAAUGCACUGGCUUACAAAUAAUGUACAUGUUUUGCAACUUAAUAGGGCGUUAAGUUGUCUUCUCUGGUUUAGUCUCAGUAAAGUUAUUUUACAUUAUCGCACAGUACUCUGUUAACUAUGUGCUCACAGUAUAUCCCAAAUUUCGUCAGGCAACGUGUUUACUUCUGGUAUAUUUUUUCUAUUCCUUUGUGUGUUAUAUUUGCUGUCUGUGCCAGCACGGUGAGAUUUGUCUUACCACUCAACGGUUAGACCAUAAGUGUGGUAAAUCACACCAGAGCCAGUACUGUACACUGUGUAGAGCAAUAUCGCUGCAGAGAGGCUGACCUCUUCCUCCUAGCUUACAAUACUCUCCUGAUGAUGUCGACAUGCAAACAACAGCAGCAUCUAAAGUCUCUUUUUUGAAGAGCAUUGACAAAUAAAGUGGAAAGAGAAAGAUGACUAUUUCAAGGCCCACACUGACUAUAAGAAAAAAAGAAA